UACGAAGGGUGCAAGCGUUACUCGGAAUUACUGGGCGUAAAGCGUGCGUAGGUGGUUUGUUAAGUCUGAUGUGAAAGCCCUGGGCUCAACCUGGGAAUUGCAUUGGAUACUGGCAGGCUAGAGUGCGGUAGAGGAUGGCGGAAUUCCCGGUGUAGCGGUGAAAUGCGUAGAGAUCAGAAAGAACAUCGGUGGCGAAAGCGCUCUACUGGACGACAACUGACACUCAGGGACGAAAGCUAGGGGAGCGAAUGGG
rnacentral:rRNA from 1 species